GUAGGUGGCAAGCGUUGUCCGGAAUUAUUGGGCGUAAAGCGCGCGCAGGCGGUUCUUUAAGUCUGAUGAGAAAGCCCACGGCUCAACCGUGGAGGGUCAUUGGAAACUGGAGAACUUGAGUACAGAAGAGGAAAGCGGAAUUCCACGUGUAGCGGUGAAAUGCGUAGAGAUGUGGAGGAACACCAGUGGCGAAGGCGGCUUUCUGGUCUGUAACUGACGCUGAGGCGCGAAAGCGUGGGGAGCAAACAGGGAUUAGAUACCCUGGUAGUCCACGCCGUAAACGAUGAGUGCUAAGUGUUAGGGGGUUUCCGCCCCCUUAGUGCUGCAGCUAACGCAUUAAGCACUCCGCCUGGGGAGUACGGCCGCAAGGCUG
rnacentral:rRNA from 1 species